UAAGCAGCAGGGUUGGAUGCUCAGUUUUACUGACAUUUUGUCAUUGAUUUCCUCUAUUGCAGCUUAUAGCUCAGCAGCAGAUGAAGAUUUUACAGAAAGCUCUAGAGGAUCAUGAAACCAGGAUUGAAAACGCUAAAGAUUUAUGUGACACAGUUUUGAAGAAAGCCAAGGACUUGAGUGAACAUCGCAAAGCUUUUAUUGGUGGUGAAGAAAGUGAAGUGAAGAAAGAAAUCUCCAAGGCGCAGGACAGAGUUAUCAUGGAAACUCAAGAGCAAGAUGUGUCUGUUGUUGAAACAUACCUUCAAUCCCUGGUCCUUGACCACUCUGAAGAAACCAUCUGAAGCUCACGUAGAGGACGCACAGGGAGCAUUAGCCGUGCUAAGAGGACGUUAGUAGCAGUCAGUGCAGCUCCUUUCUCUUUACUUUGCUUGUUAGAAAUAUGACUGAGACUCUGUUAGCCAUUAAGUGAACCCCCAACAGUUCUGUGAGUAGCAACAGUUCAGUGUGGAUCCUCUAGCCCCUGACAGCAAGGGAGAUGCAUUCUCCCCAGCAGUGGCACUCUCAUUUUGCAAGAAAAUGUCAUUUGAUUUUACGAUUGGCUUCUUUGGUUCCCUGUCACUUGCCCAAAGUGAAUGUUACCUUUCUUAUUUCAGGAAGAAAUAAAUAACGGUGGGAUCCAU